GAUGAACGCUGGCGGCGUGCCUAAUACAUGCAAGUCGAGCGAACAGACGAGGAGCUUGCUCCUCUGACGUUAGCGGCGGACGGGUGAGUAACACGUGGAUAACCUACCUAUAAGACUGGGAUAACUUCGGGAAACCGGAGCUAAUACCGGAUAACAUGUUGAACCGCAUGGUUCAACAGUGAAAGACGGUCUUGCUGUCACUUAUAGAUGGAUCCGCGCCGCAUUAGCUAGUUGGUAAGGUAACGGCUUACCAAGGCAACGAUGCGUAGCCGACCUGAGAGGGUGAUCGGCCACACUGGAACUGAGACACGGUCCAGACUCCUACGGGAGGCAGCAGUAGGGAAUCUUCCGCAAUGGGCGAAAUCCUGACGGAGCACCGCCGCGUGAGUGAAGAAGGUCUUCGGAUCGUAAAACUCUGUUAUUAGGGAAGAACAAAUGUGUAAGUAACUAUGCACGUCUUGACGGUACCUAAUCAGAAAGCCACGGCUAACUACGUG
rnacentral:rRNA from 1 species